GUAGUACUGGUAAAAUUUAUGCCAGAAUUGAGUGGGUUCUAGUCCUGUAAUUGUCUUUAGCUCUUCCAAGUAGUUUGUAGUGGGAAAGGGCCUCUGAAGACUGGAUUGAGAUACCCUCCAAAGCUGUGAAAUGCUAAAACCUGGGGUUUCAGCUUCAACUAUAAUUGAUGUCAGUGGCAAAACUAUCCUGCAUUCAGAUUCUGUACACUGCUUAGAGCCUUGUUGAGACUGAUAAGAACACUCAGUGACUUUGCCUUCUGGAAAGGCUAUUAGGGUAUUCUGACAAGAAAUCCUUUUGUAUGACCCCCUAACAAAGUAAUUUGAGGGACAGGUCAGUCAUCUUUCUGCAUGUUACACAUUGCCACAGCUUCUGAUCACUAUCCACAGUAUCUACUUUCAGGUUCACCUGGGGAGUUGAUGUGACAAGCUGAUAGGGGAUGUCCUGUAUAAUGGCUGCUCCAGAUUGUUCUGUAGCCUUAACAGGGUGAAGUCUCACCAUUUUAGCCUUCGCAAAAUAAAUCUGUCUUGUUAAAGGAA